rnacentral:rRNA from 1 species
GGACGGGUGAGUAACACGUGGAUAACCUACCUAUAAGACUGGGAUAACUUCGGGAAACCGGAGCUAAUACCGGAUAAUAUUUUGAACCGCAUGGUUCAAAAGUAAAAGACGGUCUUGCUGUCACUUAUAGAUGGAUCCGCGCUGCAUUAGCUAGUUGGUAAGGUAACGGCUUACCAAGGCAACGAUGCAUAGCCGACCUGAGAGGGUGAUCGGCCACACUGGAACUGAGACACGGUCCAG